rnacentral:rRNA from 1 species
CCUACGGGAGGCAGCAGUGAGGAAUAUUGGUCAAUGGCCGGAAGGCUGAACCAGCCAAGCCGCGUGAAGGACGAAGGUGCCAAGCAUUGUAAACUUCUUUUGUCAAGGGACAAAAUCAGGCUCGAGAGCCUGACCGAGGGUACUUGAAGAAAAAGCAUCGGCUAACUCCGUGCCAGCAGCCGCGGUAAUACGUAGGGGGCAAGCGUUAUCCGGAUUUACUGGGGGUAAAGGGGGCGCAGACGGCAAUGCAAGCCAGGAGUGAAAGCCCGGGGCCCAACCCCGGGACUGCUCUUGGAACUGCAUGGCUGGAGUACAGGAGGGGCAGGCGGAAUUCCUAGUGUAGCGGUGAAAUGCGUAGAUAUUAGGAGGAACACCGGUGGCGAAGGCGGCUUACUGGACUGUAACUGACGUUGAGGCUCGAAAGCGUGGGGAGCAAACAGGAUUAGAUACCCGGGUAGUC